AGCCCCAAAUUCUCUCCACUCGAUCUCCAAUCCUCUUAGGCCGCAGCUCCCUGCUCGCCUCCGCCGCGCGCUGCCCCCACCCGUCCCCGUCCCCGUCCCCUUCGCCAUCGGCAAAGGCCGGAGCACUGCCCUCCGCCGCGCCGCCUCCUGCAGCCUGAUCGAACCCGACGGCGGCACGCUGGUGGACCUCGUUGCGCGGGAGGGCCCGGCGAGGGAGGCGCUCCGCCGGGAUGCGGCGCGGUGCCCGCAGAUCAAGCUCUCGAGGAUCGAUCUCGAGUGGGUGCACGUGCUCAGCGAAGGGUGGGCGAGCCCGCUUUGCGGGUUCAUGAGGGAAGCUGAGUUCCUCCA
rnacentral:lncRNA from 1 species